rnacentral:rRNA from 1 species
UACGUAGGGUGCAAGCGUUGUCCGGAUUUAUUGGGCGUAAAGAGCUCGUAGGCGGUUUGGCAAGUCGGGUGUGAAAACUCCAGGCUCAACCUGGAGAUGCCACCCGAUACUGCUAUGACUCGAGUCUGGUAGGGGAGCACGGAAUUCCUGGUGUAGCGGUGAAAUGCGCAGAGAUCCGGAAGAACACCGGAGGCGAAGGCGGCUUGCUGGGCGUGAUCUGACGCUGAGGCGCGAAAGCGUGGGGAGCGAACAGG